rnacentral:rRNA from 1 species
UACGUAGGGUGCAAGCGUUGUCCGGAAUUAUUGGGCGUAAAGAGCUCGUAGGCGGUUUGUUGCGUCGGCUGUGAAAUCCCGAGGCUCAACCUCGGGUCUGCAGUCGAUACGAGCAAACUAGAGUGUUGCAGGGGAGACUGGAAUUCCUGGUGUAGCGGUGAAAUGCGCAGAUAUCAGGAGGAACACCGGUGGCGAAGGCGGGUCUGCA